GCCCAGGUGGCGAAAUUGGUAGACGCAGGGGACUCAAAAUCCCUCGCCGCAAGGUGUGUCGGUUCGAGUCCGACCCUGGGCACCA
rnacentral:tRNA from 1 species